rnacentral:misc_RNA from 1 species
GCAUCUCCUCGCGUUCACACCACGCACCCGAAUCUUCCGCGCCUACCGGACGCCGGUGGGCCACGCCGCGCUUCGGUCGGCGCGUCGCCGGAGGAAGGAGGAGGAGCCGUCUCGUUGCCAUGAAGUGGGGGAUCGCCGCCGCCGUCGCGUCCGCCGCCGCCGUGGCCGCCGCGUCAGGGGCCGAGCUGCUCGCCUGCGACUGCGCCGAUCAGCCGCCGCAGCAGCAGGAGGCCGCCGCCGCCGCCGUCGGAAG